rnacentral:rRNA from 1 species
GUGUCAGCAGCCGCGGUAAUACGUAGGGGCCAAGCGUUGUCCGGAGUUACUGGGCGUAAAGGGUGCGCAGGCGGUGGGUUACGUCGUGUGUGAAAGCCCCCGGCUUAACCGGGGAGGGUCGCGCGAAACGGGCUCACUGGAGGCAAGGCGAGGUCGGUGGAAUUCCCGGUGUAGUGGUGAAAUGCGUAGAGAUCGGGAGGAACACCAGAGGCGAAGGCGGCCGACUGGACUUGACCUGACGCUGAGGCACGAAGGCGUGGGGAGCGAACGGGAUUAGAUACCCUGGUAGUCCACGCCGUAAACGAUGAGUGCUAGAUGCAGCGGGUAUUGACCCCUGCUGCGUCGUAGCUAACGUGUUAAGUCUCCCGCCUGGGGAGUACGCACGCAAGUGUGAAACUUAAAUGAAUUGACGGGG